UUGGUGUGUAGACAAUACAAAUGUUUAAAUUUAUUAAGUAAAUAUUAUUUGAGUUUUAUCAUGACCAAUGCCAUUAGCCAUGAGUUUCUGUUUCACUUGGUUAUUUCUCCUGGGAAGAUAAGAAAGCCCACGUGUAUGUUCAACAUUUUCUCUAAAUUUUGGUGCUCCUGAACUGAAGUUCCAAAGGAUGGUUUGGGGACCAGCAAGUUUUCACAUCAUAUCAUCACCUUCCUUCCAGAGCUGGAGCUACCGAGCAGCACCCUGGAAUGGUGAGGGUGAACUGGACCAAGCUGUGAGAUGUGGAGUGGCUGGCUGCAGAGGUGCUCAGACCAUGCAUUUACCCCUGCAAAGUGGACCCUGAGCUACACUGCUUGCUUCCCCCAG
rnacentral:lncRNA from 1 species